rnacentral:lncRNA from 1 species
CUUUUGUUGGGCCCACCCCACACUCAUGCCCCGCCACAGGCGCUGAGAGCUGGCACCCAACUUCUGGAAGUUGGAAGGAUGAACAAUUUUCCUACCAUGGAGGCUAAUCACUAAGUUGAAUGUCGCUCAAAGAAAAAGCAGCCAGCCACAGAACAGAGACAAAGAGACACCGUCAAGAUCGGUCAAAGUCCUGACACGCCCAGUCCUGAGGCCAUUCGCUUCUUCACCUGCACGCUCGGAGUCGGAGGGUGGAAUCGGCCUGGGAGCCCCCAUUCAACUGCAGCACCCAGGCCACGCGUCAGGCGAGGGUCGUUCUGAAUGUAGGUGGAGAUGGGGCCUGGAGAAGGAACGGUUUAAAAAGAAGGGAAACAUUCAUUAUGAGAAUGGCUGGGCACAUGUUGAUAAGAGGAGUGAAACCUGUACCAACCAACAUCGUACUGAAAGCCAGUAAUUCAGAAUAUGCUACUGGCAAGCUGAAAAUGUGUGUUUCCACCUGAAUUUUCUUCACUGUAUGUGAUGUGAGGAGGCAAUAUUUGCCACAAGAACAUUAUGAACAUCAACAACAUGGAUGGAUCUAGAGGAUAUUGUGCUAAGUGAAAGAAGUCAGACUGAGAAAGACAAAUACCACGUGACAUCAUUUAUAUGUGGAAUCUAAAGAACAAAAUAAACGAACAAAACAGUCUCAUAGAUACAGAGAACAAACUGAUGAUUACCAUAUGGGAGGGGGGUUGGGGGCUGGGUGAAAAAUGUGAAGGAAUUAAGAAGUACAAAUUGGUAGUUACAAAAUAGUCACAGGGAUGUAAAGUACAGGAUGGGGAAUAUUGUCAAUGAUGUAAAAACUAUAGUGUCAGGUGGGCACUAGACUUACUGGGGAGAUCACAAAUUAUAUAAAUGUCUACUCACUAUGCUGUACACCCGAAACUAAUGUAAAAUAAUAUUGGGUAUCAACUAUAAUUGAAAAACAAAAUAGCCGCAGGAUAUAAAGUACAGCAUAGGGAAUAUAGUCAAUAAUGUAAUAACUAUACGUGGUGUAAUAGACUUAUGGGGGUGAUCACUUGGUUAUCUAAUCACUAUGUUGUUUGGUACAUAUGAAACUAGUAUUGUAUGGCAACGGUGAUGAGCAUAAAUUUUUUAAAAAUUUAAAAAAUUUUGAAGUUUACAUUUGUACUCUAACUCUAAAUUAAUUUAGGGAUAGUUUAAUCAUCUUUUUAAUCUCAAUGUCAAACACUGUACCAGGACACAUAAUAGGGGCUCAGCUAAUGUUUGAUAAAUGAAUAAAUGGGUCCUUUUGCUCCCUUGGGAACAGGCCAGAACAUUUGGCUAAACUGAAGUGUGAGUAGCAUUUAUGUACAGAAGUCAUGACCUUUUAGGAAAAGAGAUAUUAAAGAAACAUGUUCUCUAAGAAAAGCAGUUUGGUCAGGAGUACGACUCUACUUGUGAUUUUAAAUUAUUAAUGAACAGUUAGCUAACUGAAAUUUCUGAACACUCCAAACAAGGAUUGGUCAGUCUUAACCAGGCUAAACAGGAAAUCCUAGUAAGUACGAUUAGUGCAAGUCUCAUUGCUAGAUUAUAUCAUACUAGAACAUUUAUUAGUACCUUGAAUUUAAGACAAAUCAUACUUUACACUGUCUCCCAAUUAUUAUAAAUUGUCCUCUGCCAUCUUAUAAGUCAUGUCAAAUCAUUAACCUUGGCCUUUUCAUUAGUUUUGGCACCAUACUGCUAUGUACUCUUCAAAAUCUAUCUUUAUUCACCUACUGUUUUCCAAAGUAAAAUUUCAAAGUUGCUCACCAGCAAAGACUUUAUUGGAUGCUCAGGUUCAUUUCAAUCAGUAUUUAAU